rnacentral:tRNA from 3 species
GGGGCUAUAGCUCAGCGGGGAGAGCGCCUGCUUUGCACGCAGGAGGUCACCGGUUCGAUUCCGGUUAGCUCCA